rnacentral:lncRNA from 1 species
CCCAGUAAUAAAAGUUCCAACGUGCACAGGUACAGGGCAUGGAUGAAUAUAAGCUGCAAUAUCAUACCGUAUGCUAUAAAUGCAGGGUCUAAAUGCUGGCAAACCUCAGGCCCGAUCCCAGAUCAAUGUGCCCACCCCACACACACACCUGGUCCUCAUGGUUAAGGCCCCCUCCCCCACGUCUUUGCCCUUUCAUCUCUCACAAGGUUUUAGUUUUCCUCGAGUGGGUCUAGCGGAAAGUCCUUUUUGGCUGUUGUGCUUACUUGUUUAAAGCUUUCUCCAGGUACUCCUGAAUCCACUUUAGCUUCGGGUCAAUGCACACUUGUCUGUUGUUGUUCUUCAGCCGGGCUACAAUCUGAAGGGCACAGUUUGGAGUGUUGAGAAUUUUGAGAUGCUUGACGUUGGCUCUGGCAACAUGGCUUUCGAAGAAUCGGCAUGGGCAUCUGUAGCUCAGGCUGACGGGCUUCCCGUCGCUGAGGCAGAGCGCGGUCAGCACGAGGACCAGCACGACCACGACCUUGGCGUUCAUGGCGCGGGCGGGCGGGCGGGCGGGCGGACGAGCGCGGGUCGGGGGCCGGACGCCGAGCGGGCAAUGCGGCUGACGGAGAG